CUCGGAGCCGGUGCGCCACUCGCGCGGCACGACAA
rnacentral:sRNA from 1 species